rnacentral:rRNA from 1 species
GAUGAACGCUGGCGGCGUGCCUAAUACAUGCAAGUCGAGCGAACAGACGAGGAGCUUGCUCCUCUGACGUUAGCGGCAGACGGGUGAGUAACACGUGGAUAACCUACCUAUAAGACUGGGAUAACUUCGGGAAACCGGAGCUAAUACCGGAUAACAUGUUGAACCGCAUGGUUCAACAGUGAAAGACGGUCUUGCUGUCACUUAUAGAUGGAUCCGCGCCGCAUUAGCUAGUUGGUAAGGUAACGGCUUACCAAGGCAACGAUGCGUAGCCGACCUGAGAGGGUGAUCGGCCACACUGGAACUGAGACACGGUCCAGACUCCUACGGGAGGCAGCAGUAGGGAAUCUUCCGCAAUGGGCGAAAGCCUGACGGAGCAACGCCGCGUGAGUGAAGAAGGUCUUCGGAUCGUAAAACUCUGUUAUUAGGGAAGAACAAAUGUGUAAGUAACUAUGCACGUCUUGACGGUACCUAAUCAGAAAGCCACGGCUAACUACGUG